rnacentral:lncRNA from 1 species
CAAGAACUUUCCUACAAAGUGCCUGUGAUGGAUUGAAUUAUUUUUCUCAACUUGUUACUCCCUUCUUUCCAUACGAGGAUUACAUAUCCCUUUCCCAUUGGCAUUGGUGACUUAUUUUGGCCAAUGAAAUGGGAGUGUAUGUGAUACACUCCUCAUACAUAGACAGAGUUUCACUCUUGUUGCCCAAGCUGGACAGCAGUGGCGCAAGCUUGGCUCACUGCAAACUCUGCCUUCCGGUUUCAAGCGAUUCUCCUGCCUCAGCCUCCGGAGUACCUGGGACUACAGGCACGCAUUGCGCCCAGAGAAAAACAGAUCUUCAACAGUUUUUUGAUGGAAAUAAACAAUUUCAGGUUGAGACAACACAUCAACUUCAUGCAUUCCUUCAGCUUGAAGUCAACUGGGCCUGGGUUGAAUCUGGUUCUGUUUUGUUGUUGUUUCAUUUUGUUUUUUAGCAUUUGACUAUGUACAGUCUCCAUUUCUAAGUCUUGAUUUCCUCAUUUAUAAAACGAAGCAACUAAAUGAUAUCCAAUACACUUGUUUUGAAAAUCAAAGAAUAAGCACGGCACCCAAGACAAUUUUUUGUAUCACAGGCACACAUGAAUGUUUUUUUCCUUUUCCUUUUCUUAUAAAAACCUAUAUUUUGUGACUUUUAUAUUUAUUCCUAGAUGCUCUCAUAUGUAUUAUCUCAUUUUUACAAUAACAUUAUAAAUAUAAACACUGUUAUGCUAUUUUACAGAUGAGAGACUUGAAGCACAGAAGGCUAAAACUACCUUUAACUUCUAAAGAAACUUUGUGAGAAGCAUCUGAGACUAUUGACAGUUAAAAUCCCUAU